GAUCCUGGCUCAGGAUGAACGCUAGCUACAGGCUUAAUACAUGCAAGUCGAGGGGCAGCAUCAUCAAAGCUUGCUUUGAUGGACGGCGACCGGCGCACGGGUGAGUAACACGUAUCCAACCUGCCGACAACACUGGGAUAGCCUUUCGAAAGAAAGAUUAAUACCGGAUGGUAUAGUUUUCCCGCAUGGGAUGAUUAUUAAAGAAUUUCGGUUGUCGAUGGGGAUGCGUUCCAUUAGGCAG
rnacentral:rRNA from 1 species